rfam:Paraphaeosphaeria sporulosa strain AP3s5-JAC2a unplaced genomic scaffold CC84scaffold_1, whole genome shotgun sequence.
GGCCGGCUAGCGCAAUGGUAGCGCGUGGCCCUCCUACGUUCCCCUCACACGUGUGAGGCCAAGGCUGCAGGUUCGAGUCCUGCGUCGGUCG